rnacentral:rRNA from 1 species
GCAUAUCAAUAAGCGGAGGAAAAAGAAACCAACAGGGAUUGCCUCAGUAACGGCGAGUGAAGCGGCAACAGCUCAAAUUUGAAAUCUGGCCCUUUCAGGGUCCGAGUUGUAAUUUGGAGAAGAUGCUUCGGGUGCGGCGCCGGUCUAAGUUCCUUGGAACAGGACGUCACAGAGGGUGAGAAUCCCGUACGUGCCCGGUGGUCGCCCCCAUGUGAAGCUCUUUCGACGAGUCGAGUUGUUUGGGAAUGCAGCUCAAAAUGGGUGGUAAAUUUCAUCUAAAGCUAAAUAUUGGCCAGAGACCGAUAGCGCACAAGUAGAGUGAUCGAAAGAUGAAAAGCACUUUGGAAAGAGAGUUAAACAGUACGUGAAAUUGUUGAAAGGGAAGCGCUUGCAACCAGACUUGCGCGCGGCCGAUCAUCUGGUGUUCGCACCAGUGCACUCGACCGCGCGCAGGCCAGCAUCGGUUUAGGUGGCUGGAUAAAGGCCUCGGGAAUGUGGCUCCCCUCGGGGAGUGUUAUAGCCCGAGGUGCAAUGCAGCCUACCUGGACCGAGGACCGCGCUUCGGCUAGGAUGCUGGCGUAAUGGUUGCAAGCGACCCGUCUUGAAACACGGACCAAGGAGUCUAACAUCUAUGCGAGUGUUUGGGUGUCAAACCCAUACGCGUAAUGAAAGUGAACGGAGGUGAGAACCCUUAAGGGUGCAUCAUCGACCGAUCCUGAUGUCUUCGGAUGGAUUUGAGUAAGAGCAUAGCUGUUGGGACCCGAAAGAUGGUGAACUAUGCCUGAAUAGGGUGAAGCCAGAGGAAACUCUGGUGGAGGCUCGCAGCGGUUCUGACGUGCAAAUCGAUCGUCAAAUUUGGGCAUAGGGGGCGAAAGACUAAUCGAACCAUCUAGUAGCUGGGUUCCUGCCGAAGACUUUUGCGCGACUUCUUUUCCGCUAUAUGAGGAGUG